GUUUCCAUGGCGUGGAUAUAUAAUGAAGCUUUAAACCGCGAGCUUUCUUCUUUCAUCUGAGCUUUCGGACAAAAUAUUUUUUGAAUCCCUGCAGAGGAGCAAGAAUGCCACGGCCGACCCGCUUCCUCUUGGCGUUGGCGGUGCUCAGUGCGGCGGCCGCGUGGGUGGGGGACGCCGCGCCGCUGGAGGAGGAGGGCGAGGCGAAGGACUUGAGAACCCUGACCGACAGCAUCCCCUGCAGAGGUCCUUGCCGUGCACGUGAUCAUCGGAACAAUUGCAAGGAGAUGAUUGAUUGCACGUCCCCAUGAGAUCGUUUGCAGAUGAGGAAAAAUAAUAAAA